GCGGCACCAUCAAGAUUCACA
rnacentral:miRNA from 1 species